rnacentral:rRNA from 1 species
AUUGAACGCUGGCGGCAGGCUUAACACAUGCAAGUCGAGCGAGCGGCGGACGGGUGAGUAAUGUCUGGGAAACUGCCUGAUGGAGGGGGAUAACUACUGGAAACGGUAGCUAAUACUGCAUACCAUCAGAUGUGCCCAGAUGGGAUUAGCGAGUAGGUGGGGUAAGGGCUCACCUAGGCGACGAUCCCUAGCUGGUCUGAGAGGCUGAGCAGCCACACUGUAACGUAGACACGGUCCAGACUCCUACGGGAGGCAGCAUUGGGGAAUAUUGCGCAAUGGGCGCAAUCCUGAUUCAGCCAUGCCGCGUGUGUGAAGAAGGCCUUCGGGUUGUAAAGCACUUUCAGCGAGGAGGCGUUACUCGCAGAAGAAGCACCGGCUAACUCCGUGCCAGCAGCCGCGGUAAUUC